rnacentral:tRNA from 1 species
AAGGCUUUAAGUUAAUUAAACUAAUAGUCUUCAAAACUAUAAAUAUAAGAUGAUUCUUUUAAGCCUUA